rnacentral:tRNA from 5 species
UCUCUCAGGGUGGAUUCGAACCACCGACAACUCCUUAGUUAAAUGGUAGGAGCACUCUGACCACUGAGCUACCGAGAG